GUCUGGAUAGCUCAGUUGGUUAGAGCAUGGCACUGACAAUGCCAAGGUUUCAGGUUCAAUCCCCAUGUGGGACA
rnacentral:tRNA from 1 species